GAAUGCUGACAUAAGUAACGAUAAAGCGGGUGAAAAGCCCGCUCGCCGGAAGACCAAGGGUUCCUGUCCAACGUUAAUCGGGGCAGGGUGAGUCGACCCCUAAGGCGAGGCCGAAAGGCGUAGUCGAUGGGAAACGGGUUAAUAUUCCCGUACUUGGUGUUACUGCGAAGGGGGGACGGAGAAGGCUAUGUUGGCCGGGCGACGGUUGUCCCGGUUUAAGUGUGUAGGUGUGUGUUCCAGGUAAAUCCGGUUCACUUUAACACUGAGGCGUGACGACGAGGCACUACGGUGCUGAAGCAACAAAUGCCCUGCUUCCAGGAAAAGCCUCUAAGCAUCAGGUAACAUCAAAUCGUACCCCAAACCGACACAGGUGGUCAGGUAGAGAAUACCAAGGCGCUUGAGAGAACUCGGGUGAAGGAACUAGGCAAAAUGGUGCCGUAACUUCGGGAGAAGGCACGCUGACACGUAGGUGAAGUGAUUUACUCAUGGAGCUGAAGUCAGUCGAAGAUACCAGCUGGCUGCAACUGUUUAUUAAAAACACAGCACUGUGCAAACACGAAAGUGGACGUAUACGGUGUGACGCCUGCCCGGUGCCGGAAGGUUAAUUGAUGGGGUCAGCGCAAGCGAAGCUCCUGAUCGAAGCCCCGGUAAACGGCGGCCGUAACUAUAACGGUCCUAAGGUAGCGAAAUUCCUUGUCGGGUAAGUUCCGACCUGCACGAAUGGCGUAAUGAUGGCCAGGCUGUCUCCACCCGAGACUCAGUGAAAUUGAACUCGCUGUGAAGAUGCAGUGUACCCGCGGCAAGACGGAAAGACCCCGUGAACCUUUACUAUAGCUUGACACUGAACAUUGAGCCUUGAUGUGUAGGAUAGGUGGGAGGCUUUGAAGUGUGGACGCCAGUCUGCAUGGAGCCGACCUUGAAAUACCACCCUUUAAUGUUUGAUGUUCUAACGUGGACCCGUUACCCGGGUUGCGGACAGUGUCUGGUGGGUAGUUUGACUGGGGCGGUCUCCUCCUAAAGAGUAACGGAGGAGCACGAAGGUUGGCUAAUCCUGGUCGGACAUCAGGAGGUUAGUGCAAUGGCAUAAGCCAGCUUGACUGCGAGCGUGACGGCGCGAGCAGGUGCGAAAGCAGGUCAUAGUGAUCCGGUGGUUCUGAAUGGAAGGGCCAUCGCUCAACGGAUAAAAGGUACUCCGGGGAUAACAGGCUGAUACCGCCCAAGAGUUCAUAUCGACGGCGGUGUUUGGCACCUCGAUGUCGGCUCAUCACAUCCUGGGGCUGAAGUAGGUCCCAAGGGUAUGGCUGUUCGCCAUUUAAAGUGGUACGCGAGCUGGGUUUAGAACGUCGUGAGACAGUUCGGUCCCUAUCUGCCGUGGGCGCUGGAGAACUGAGGGGGGCUGCUCCUAGUACGAGAGGACCGGAGUGGACGCAUCACUGGUGUUCGGGUUGUCAUGCCAAUGGCACUGCCCGGUAGCUAAAUGCGGAAGAGAUAAGUGCUGAAAGCAUCUAAGCACGAAACUUGCCCCGA
rnacentral:rRNA from 1 species